GGGGGUGAAAGGUUUCGAUCUGGACAGGUCGAGGCGAAAGUGGCAUGUGGAGGGUUCAGGUGGCCUCCUUAAAAACCUGAACAUACACAAACGCAAACUCAAACAGAGUAGCAGAAUUCCAGCUUGCUGGAGUUCCUGCUGAUGCGUUCAGCGUCAACUAAUAAAGUUGACCCUCCUUUAGCCUUGCCUACGGGGCUAAGUUCGGAGUCGUAAGUAGGAUAGUCCGGUGUUGUUAGCUUUUGCGGCGCCGGAUGAAACUUAAAAAAGCUUUUCUUUCCCGCAUCCCGUUUAUUGGAGUCGGGAAAGAGAACUUAAAAGGUAAACUAAACAUGUAGAGGCUUUUGCUGCGAUGUCCAGAGACGCGAGUUCGAAUCUCGCCACCUCCAUUG
rnacentral:tmRNA from 1 species